AACGAACGCUGGCGGCAUGCCUAACACAUGCAAGUCGAACGAGACCUUCGGGUCUAGUGGCGCACGGGUGCGUAACGCGUUGGAACCUGCCCUUAGGUUCGGAAUAGCUCCCCGAAAGGGGUGCUAAUACCGGAUAAUGUCUUCGGACCAAAGAUUUAUCCCCUUUGGGUGGGCCCGCGUUGGUUUAGCUAGUUGGGAGGGUAAAAGCCUACCAAGGCGACGAUCCAGAGGUGGUCUGAGAGGAUGAUAAGCCACACUGGGAAGGAGACAAGGCCCCGACUCCGAGGGGAGGAAGUGGUGGGGAAUAUUGGACGAGGGGCGGAAGCCUGAAGCAGCAAGGCGGGGGGGGGGAAGAAGGCCUUGGGGUUGAAAACCUUUUUUACCCGGGAUAAAAAGACCAGUACCGGGGAAAAAAGCUCGGCUAAAUCCGUG
rnacentral:rRNA from 1 species